GGGCCCGUAAGAUCCGGGAUCAUUAUAAAGGGGUAGCCCGGGUACGGUGGGCUCUUGAACAGCCCUCCAUCUUGCCUUUUCGCAGCUAACAUGGCGGGGGGAAAAGAAAGAAAACUUUUUUUCCGACCUAGGCGGAGGCCGUCUUUCCGCCUUGAAAUGCAACGAGACACAGGGAUUGCAUUAAAGGACACGGAGGACACGGGCACAUCUGAACGGCCACGGCGUGCUUCAAAGUUUAACACACAGAAAAAGUGCACAAAAGCGGCGAAGCGGACCGAACCGGGGCCUUCCGGGCCGGACCAAAGAACCACUUGGUUUCGCACUCACCUCCGAAUCCGACGAGCUGUUCUGGUUCGUUUCUGAUUCGUUUACGAGAGAAGAUUUGACAUCUGCUAGAUCCCUCUCCGCCGAAGAGAUCUCCGAGAUCUUCUCCUCUUGCUCGCCCUCGUCUUUGAAGGAGAUCAUCUCGUCGGUCGCUCCCAGAUCGUCCCCUCCACCGCCGUUCAGCUGCGGCAUCUUCCCGACCGAUUUUGGGGGCAAAAACACAAAGUUUUUAAACCCUUGAUCUUGGCGAUCCCGAAUCCGAGCUGAAGUUAAGGGUCUCUAUUAGCGUUUUCCAAGGAGCGGCGCUUCGUAGAAACUAAAAAGAGGGAAAUGUUGGCAGAAAAAGGAGCCGGAGACGGAGCCGAGGCGCUCGGAUUGAGGGAGUUGAAGUUGGUCGGAGUGGUUUUCAGUUCAAAGGCGGCGCUGAUUGACAGAUAGAGAGGGAUGGAAAUAGAGAGAGUCUGGAUUCGGGAUUAUUGACAGGGAGAAACACACAAGAAACUAAUGAGAUUCAAACAGGGAGGGACCUGAAGUGACGUUUUCAUAAAUAGAGAGGGGCAGGAAAGUAUUAGGAAAAAGCGGCUUGAGGAAGUGUGCGGACGGCUCCUCGGUUUGAAAAUCAAGUGAGGAAAAAGACAGUUUGAGAGAGGCGCAAAAAGAAAACCAGCAAAGGAGGCAGCUAGUCACAGUUAAACACCGGCCAAAUACAUUUGUAUAUAUCACGGCAAGUGUGAUCAGCUUGUCUUAUUUAGUCAUGCAAACUGCGGCUUUUUGGUGGUAUAACCUGAAGUUUAUCUUUGUUUUUAAAAUGUUAAUAAUAUAAAGAAUUGAACUUGUUAACUACAGGUUCAUCGUCAGCGUAUUGUUUUUAACCAGAUCAAAUUCUAUAUUUAUGUUUUGAACGCCGGAAUAAAACCAAUAGUGUAUAUUUGCAAUAACCUAACAGAAAUAUGUAAAUAUUUGAAUUUAAACGAUUUAAAUUUUAUAUUUAUUUUGUCAAAAUGUAUGAAUCAACAAGGUAAAGAAAUAUACAAAAACAAUAGUAAGAGGAUUACUGUUGCGAAAUGAUUGUCAUGUAUAGGCUGUUUAUCCUAUUGAAAGGGAAACACAACAACACCCUUAUUAAACAAAUGUAUGUUGCCA